GAUAACGUAGUUUAAUGGUAAAACGGCUUUAAAGGUUGAUUUUGGUUCGAUUCCAAACGUUAUUC
rnacentral:tRNA from 1 species